rnacentral:rRNA from 1 species
CCUACGGGAGGCAGCAGUAAGGAAUAUUGGGCAAUGGAGGCAACUCUGACCCAGCCAUGCCGCGUGAAGGAUGAAGGCCCUAUGGGUUGUAAACUUCUUUUGUACGGGAAUAAACCUGGUUACGUGUAACCAGUUGAAUGUACCGUAAGAAUAAGCACCGGCUAACUCCGUGCCAGCAGCCGCGGUAAUACGGAGGGUGCAAGCGUUAUCCGGAUUUAUUGGGUUUAAAGGGAGCGUAGGCGGGAUUGUAAGUCAGUGGUGAAAGCCCGUAGCUCAACUACGGAACUGCCAUUGAUACUGCAGACCUAGAGUACACUUGAAGUGGGCGGAAUGUGUCAUGUAGCGGUGAAAUGCUUAGAUAUGACACAGAACACCAAUUGCGAAGGCAGCUCACUAAAUUGUAACUGACGCUGAGGCUCGAUAGCGUGGGGAUCAAACAGGAUUAGAUACCCUGUAGUCCACGCGUAAACGAUGAUUACCUGAUGUGUGAUACACUNUNGCGUCUGNGNGAGANAUAUAUAC